CUGACACCGCCCAUAUUAAAUGGCUGUUGAGCGUUUGUAAAUUCAUCAGUUAUUCGGCGCUCUCUGGCACACUCAGACGAGAGUGCUCUGAAAUCGGAGUAGAUGGCCAGCCUGAAUUUACAAACGCACCUGAAAUGGUUCUUUGCAUAGUGGAGUCUUUUGUUAAGACAAUGAACCAUAAUCACAACUCAUGACGUUACUACCCUACAUGGAUCUGCAGGAUGUUCAGCUGGGUGGUGAAGGGGGUUCCCCAGCCUCCUGGGAAACUAGGAGAUGAGGAGAAGACCAAUGCCUCACCUGCAACAGUAAAACAAGUAACAUUCAAAGAAGAGAAGAAACAAGAAGGUAAUAACUGACUUAAACCUAAUCUAUAAACAAUUCCCUUUGUCUACUAAAGUCGGUAAAUUGAUCUGUAUCAGCAGCAUAGACGGACAGCCGUCUCACACUGUUCUUUAAUUAUGAUUGACAGCUCUAAAACCUGCCAAGGCCAAAGAGGAGGAGGUCGCCGAGGAGAAUGGGUGAGUGUAUCUAUGGCUGGAAUUCAAUACUUAUAGUUUGUCAAUGCUCACCAACAGAGAAAAGGAGGGG
rnacentral:lncRNA from 1 species